rnacentral:siRNA from 1 species
UCUUUUUGGAGUCUUCAUCUACCA